UAAGUUUCGGAAGUUUGGAAAUAAGGAGAAUACUUGAAGUAUAGGAAAAUUUGCUGGCAUGAUUGGACCGUCGAACUAAAAACAUAUAAGGCUCGGACCUUAUCGAAUCAAAGCCCGAAACACAACCCAGACCAACCUCAGUCUCGAUUGCUCUGCAGCGACGGAGACCUCUGACUGUUCCGUCCGUCAUCCGGCCGUCAUCCGGCCGCCUUCCGGCGCAAGGCCAGUGUCCACGCCUUCGUCUCGUCGUCCCCAACGUUGUUGUGCUGAUAGAUUUUCAAGACAAGCUCGGAGAAGGGAGAAUCGAGCCGAAGAAGGAUUUCUGGGUUUCCGGUCGAGUUUGUGAUUCCGGCCACGACGACGAGCGUGACUGGUACUGGUAGCUUCAUCUCGGCCUUGUGAUCCUUCCUAUAUAUAGUCUCGAUUCCGUCGAUGGAGCUUCGAUGACAGAGAAUCGAAGACGGGAAGCUUCUGAGUUUUCUGGCGAGAGUUUUAUGUAUUCCGGCCACCGGCGAAGGCAAGUGAGUUUGAUUGUUGGCAGUGGUGGUGAAUGGUGAUGGCUAUUGCAGUGGCUUUUUGGUGUUGUUAAUGCAUGAGUUCCUGCUCACUGCAAUGGUGGAAUCGAUGUUUCCCACUUCAUCCUCUCUAUGUUCGUGAUCAUGGGUUAAAGAGCAUAGAGCAAGACUCUUCUGCUCUUAUUCUUAACAGGGAAUAGUUCAAGAAACUGUUGAAGCUUGUGGUGAAAACGUCAACCUUUAGGUAAGCUUAAUUCAAGGUUUGAUUGAUGCGGGUGCCAUGGAGUUGAAUUGUAGUAUUGAUGACAAUUACAUACUUGGAUUGGAGGCUGAAAAGGAAGCGGUGAUUAAGGACGUGGUGAAGCUCUGUCAUUUGGACAAGAGCACAGCAAGGAUGGACCAAGCUAAAGAAGGAGGCAAAAUCGGUCAAAAUGGUAAGCUAUGAUUUCUUUCAAGAGUUUGAAAUCAUGAUAUUGAUAGCAUAGAAUUUGUGUAGGAAGCAAGUUGCAAAGCUUUAAUUGUAAACAUGGUUCGAUGAUAUAUGUGAGCUAAGGGAUGAUUCUGUCCAAGUUAUCAUUACUAGUUCUUUUGACCAUUAUAAUUGAUGGU